GAUCUCUGAAUGCAGUUGUAAUGCAUCUCCUAAGUCUUCGCUUUUCCAUCUAGACUCCCCAGCCUCUUUAGCAGUUUCUGCUUGCUCAUCCCCGAGCAGCUUCUGGGUUGGAGUGAAAUGGAAACUCUGAACACAAGCCUCUCCCAGCCAACCCCACCAAGAGGCCGGAGGGCGGCUCCACUCCAGCGCAAAGGCUCUCAGCUCACGGGAUGGGACUCAGAAACGGGCUUCCCAGGCUGCACAAAGCUCCACUCCAGGGCGAAGUUGUCUCCCACCGACGUGCUGUAGCUGCAGAGAGAGAGAGAACGAGCAGGAGGGGCAGAGGGAGAGGCAGAGAGAAUCGAUCCCAAGCA